UAGGUGAAUGUCCGCUGGUUGGGACACUUAGCUGUUAAUUAAGUUUUUGUAGGAUCGAGGCCUGCUCACCUAG
rnacentral:tRNA from 1 species